rnacentral:rRNA from 1 species
GAGUUUGAUCGUGGCUCAGAAUGAACGCUGGCGGCAUGCCUAACACAUGCAAGUCGAACGAGUACCUUCGGGUGCUAGUGGCGCACGGGUGCGUAACGCGUGGGAAUCUGCCCUUAGGUUCGGAAUAACAGCGAGAAAUUGCUGCUAAUACCGGAUGAUGGCUUCGGCCCAAAGAUUUAUCGCCUAGGGAUGAGCCCGCGUAAGAUUAGGUAGUUGGUGUGGUAAAGGCGCACCAAGCCGACGAUCUUUAGCUGGUCUGAGAGGAUGAUCAGCCACACUGGGACUGAGACACGGCCCAGACUCCUACGGGAGGCAGCAGUGGGGAAUAUUGGACAAUGGGCGCAAGCCUGAUCCAGCAAUGCCGCGUGAGUGAUGAAGGCCUUAGGGUUGUAAAGCUCUUUUACCCGGGAUGAUAAUGACAGUACCGGGAGAAUAAGCUCCGGCUAACUCCGUGCCAGCCGCCGCGGUAAG